rnacentral:rRNA from 1 species
UACGUAGGGUGCGAGCGUUAAUCGGAAUUACUGGGCGUAAAGUGUGCGCAGGUGGCCGCGCAAGUCGAGUGUGAAAUCCCCGAGCUUAACUUGGGAAUUGCGCUCGAAACUACGGGGCUCGAGUGUGGCAGAGGGAGGUGGAAUUCCACGUGUAGCGGUGAAAUGCGUAGAGAUGUGGAGGAACACCAAUGGCGAAGGCAGCCUCCUGGGCCAACACUGACGCUCAUGCACGAAAGCGUGGGGAGCAAACAGG